UUGAACGCUGGCGGCAUGCCUUACACAUGCAAGUCGAACGGCAGCACGGGAGCAAUCCUGGUGGCGAGUGGCGAACGGGUGAGUAAUAUAUCGGAACGUGCCCAGUCGUGGGGGAUAACGUAGCGAAAGCUACGCUAAUACCGCAUACGAUCUAUGGAUGAAAGCGGGGGAUCGCAAGACCUCGCGCGAUUGGAGCGGCCGAUAUCAGAUUAGGUAGUUGGUGAGGUAAAGGCUCACCAAGCCAACGAUCUGUAGCUGGUCUGAGAGGACGACCAGCCACACUGGAACUGAGACACGGUCCAGACUCCUACGGGAGGCAGCAGUGGGGAAUUUUGGACAAUGGACGCAAGUCUGAUCCAGCCAUUCCGCGUGCAGGAUGAAGGCCCUCGGGUUGUAAACUGCUUUUGUACGGAACGAAAAGGUUUCUAUUAAUACUAGGAGCUCAUGACGGUACCGUAAGAAUAAGCACCGGCUAACUACGUG
rnacentral:rRNA from 1 species